AAAAACAAUUCAAGCCUUACUAUUUUGUGAAGCAAUCACUUCUGAUCAGAAACUGACAUCCUGCUUCAUGCUCCUCAGUGUGGAAAUCUGUCAGCUCCUGUGACCCCUCUUUUUAUUGAAAUACCUGAGAACAUCACCUUCAUUAGUGUGCUGAUCCUCACAGUAUCUCAAGAAAGUUAGGUAUUAUUAUUAUUAUUAUUUUAUACAGUCAUGUAAGGACUAUUGAGGCACACUGAGAUCAAGUGAGUUGCCCAAUGGUGUUCCUAGAAGAGGAGUAGAAGAAUUACCUACUGCAUUGCUCUAUUUGCAUGACGAGUCUUUGGAUGAUACUUAAAAUGUAGCCUUGUUAAUGUAGGAACAGGCUUAAAGAAGGAACAAAACAAGCUGCAGCAAACCAGCUGACGUGGCACAAACUGCAAACUGUCACUCAAGUCAACUCAGAGACUCAGUGAGAAAGGAUUUCAAAUUUCAUCCCUACACAAUUAAAAAAGACUGUGCCUACGCUGACAUCAAUACGAAUUUGUGAAGGCACAGAAAAUCCUAAUAGGGAGCACUUAAGCUUGGAAAACAACCCCAUUUUCCUGAGAAGAGAUGAAACCAUAAAGUAGAUGAUGCCACAACAGAACGAACAUGUGUCAUCAGAACAGCAAAAGCCAGAUUGUGUCAUGGGAAAAUCUCAAAGGAUUCAACCCAGGAUAAGAAUGUGCAAACUGAUGCGAAAUUAAAUGCAACUGAACAAGAUAACACACAUCUCAGCAAUGAAGAACAUGCACUGCAUACUCACGAACAAGAUGAUGGAGUUUAAAUCCCAGGAGGUCUGAGGAAGUCUAAACAGUCCCAAGUGACUAAAUCUUGGCAGGACUAAGAAGAGUUCCCAGAAAAGGAGGCAGGAAGGUGCUGCAGAAACUGAACAAGGACUAAAGGAAGAGAAAGGAUCAGAAUUUUAUUUGGAAGAGAACAGCCAAUCAUUUGACAUGUCACUGGAACAAAACUAUCUAUGAAGUGAAAACAUGAUGUCAUACCCCAAGUGCCAAGAAAAGGAGAGAGGAAGAAAAACGAGAAGAGGGCAAUCUGUUUGGUAUCCUUUAGAAAGUUUAUUACAAAUUCUUGGUUCAGUAUUUUAAUUCCUUAGACAGGGGUCAUCUCUAGGUAUGUGCAUGGCUUUCAGCACGGCUCUAUCCUAGACAUUCAUUCAGCCGAACUGAAGCAUGAUCUGGGCAUUUGCUGGCAGUGGGUUUGUUAUACAGUCACCAACAACAUAGUAGCACCAUGCUAUGGUAGUAUUUCAGUACUUAUUCACUGGAGAAAACACAGGAGAAACCUCCAAAAAGGGAGGCUAAGCCUACAUAAAUUUAGCUAUUUCCCAGGAUAUAAUGCCAAGCAGGGGUUUCAGAAAGCAGAAUCUGUGAAAUAAAACAGGUGUCUACCUCGGACCAAGGCAGUCUGGAAGUAUUUAGUGCAUGCCACAAGCGUUUCCAAGUCCACAUUAAAGAGCUGGUAAAAGAGAAGCAGGUAUCAUGAGAGGAGGGAGGAAAAAAGGAGAGAGAAAAUAAGAGAGAAGGAGGAAGAAGAAAGAGAAGAAGCAACUACUUUGGUAAUCUCACGAAAGAACCUCCUAGAAGGUCAGCCUGGUACUUAGGGCCAGAAAGGAGUCAUGAGUCAGACUAUAAACUUCGCUUCCGCAGGUAGUCCUGAGAAUAGCAUGAAGUCAACAGGACUAUUCUGAGGAGCAAGAAUCACUCACAUCAGAAAAAUUUUCAGGGCUGGGCCAUAAGCACACAAAAUAAGAUUGUAUCAUAAAUCUAAGUCAACAGUGCAAUGGUACCGACACUACUCAUUUAUAUGCCGGACACCUCUGUAUCUUUGGCCAUGCAGAUGCUUUUUGAUAAGGUCAAGCCCUCAUGCCUGUUCUGGUGGACAGGAGGAACACAUGACAGAUCCUUAGUCCAUACAGGACUCCUGGUGUGCCAGGAAAUGGUACAUUUAGAUCCACACCUACGGCUGGAUGAUGAAUCAAGAGCGUUACUUGGAGGGCUGCUUUUUAUUAUCUGCAUCUGGGGAUCACUGGCAGAAAGGAACAUUUUUAUUUACUUAUAUUCCUCUGGUACCCAGAAGCCUCAGAGAACAGAGCUGUUAUUUCCUUAUUGUGAAAUAUGUAGAAAAGCACAGUCACCACUGCAUAAACCUUGCCUGCUAUUUAAAAGCAGGCUACUGAAGGGAGUAUGGGUUAGACGAACUGUGAAAGAAGGGGAGGAAAGGAAGAAAAAAAGGUUAAAUAGCAGUAGGAAACAUGACUAUAAAGGACUAACUAUCUGUACAAUUGAUGGUUCUGAGCCUUUGGAUUAUGCUGACAAUAUAUUAAUCAUAUGUUACAGCCAUAUGCACACAUACUGAUAAAUUUAUAUUUAUGUCUGCCUAUAAAUGAAC